AGCAGAUGAUGGCUUUUCCUCAUGAUGGUCUGUGGAAGCCACUGUGGGCAGUGCCAAUGAUGCCAAUGGCUUAGCUAUGCUCAGAG